GACAGAGGGUGCAAACGUUGCUCGGAAUUACUGGGCGUAAAGCGUGCGCAGGCGGCUUUGCAAGACAGAUGUGAAAUCCCCGGGCUUAACCUGGGAACUGCAUUUGUGACUGCAUGGCUGGAGUGUGGCAGAGGGGGGUGGAAUUCCGCGUGUAGCAGUGAAAUGCGUAGAGAUGCGGAGGAACACCGAUGGCGAAGGCAGCCCCCUGGGCUAACACUGACGCUCAGGCACGAAAGCGUGGGGAGCAAACAGG
rnacentral:rRNA from 1 species